CGCAGGUCCAAGGGGAGACCAAGGGUCCGGACUCGGAGUUGCUGCUGCGAGUCUCACCUUCGACCCGGAGGAGCCCGGCCGGCGGCAAAGGGUGAGGACCUGGGGGGGUCUCCUCAGACGCUGGAAUCUGAGGCCCAGGCUCCUCUUCUGGGGCGGAAGGACGAGAUUUCCUGGAGUCGAGGUUCCGGUCUUACCCUAACAGCGGCUUUCGUGUCCAGUGGAGAUUCAGGGGCGAGAAAUUCUGAACAAAAUCAGAAUAAACUGGAAUAAGACCAAUUAAAAUUCUUAAUAAAAUAGUACCGGAAUACAACACUGCUUGGAAUUCAGGUCUUGAACCGUUAACACGAAAGCUCAGAGGCAGUCACCCUGGCUGCUCAGGGACAUCAGAGCCCUUCAAGACUCGGGUGCUGCCACGUCCGUGUGGCCCUCGCGGUUCCGGGGCAGCGCGUGGGUCCGACGCAGAACAGGAGUGAGUAAAAACUGCUGAGCGCCGCCCCAAAGACGAGGUUCCACCGAGACUCGAACUCGGAUUCACGCUGGAUUCAGAGUCCAGAGUGCUCGCCAUCACACCAUGGAACCACCGGGGACCCUUCAGCUGGGAUCACUGAAUUCAGAGGCCAGAGUGCUCACCAUAACGCAGACCCUCCCGCAGCCCGUCCCUGCCAGCAGUUGAGCCAGGCGCGCGCAGCCCCGCCGGCCCAGGACCCGCUUCCCGCCGGGCGCGCUCCUCAGCCGCGCGCAGCCCGCGUCCUCCGCGACGCCAGGGGGCGCCGGCCUUGCCUGCCCUCGGCCUCCCUGCAGGUUAGUACGUCCAGGAGGACAUGAAAUCCACUGGGGUCAGCGACAGGGCAGGGCUUUCAGGCCUCCCCCAAGUCCACCUGCUCUGCCAGCAUUUGUGGAGUGUUCUACGCUGAGGAGUUCUGCUUCAGCGCAGGAAACUCUACAAAUGCUGGCAGAACAGAGGGUUUGGGGUGGGCCCUGCCCUGUCGCUGACCUCAACGGAUUUUAUCGUCCUCUGGUACAAACCUGCCCGGAGGCCGCGGGCAGGCGAGUCCGGAGCCUCCUGGCGUCGAGGCGGAAGCGGGCUGGGGGCUGCGGGGUGAGGAGCGCGCCCGGCGGGAGGCGGGGCCUGGGCCGGCGGGGCUGCGCGCGGCCUGGCUCAGCGGCUGCAAGGUAAAGGCCGGUGGGCGGUUCCAUGGUGUA
rnacentral:tRNA from 1 species